rnacentral:rRNA from 1 species
GUUUUACCUUGACGAAUUGUAGUUUAAAGAAGUGUUUUCUGUUAAAGUUUUGGUAAAAGUUCUUUGGAAUAGGACAUCAUAGAGGGUGAGAAUCCCGUAUUUGACCAUUAUUUUCAGCUGUGUGAUACACUUUCAAAGAGUCGGAUUGUUUGGGAAUGCAGUCCAAAAUGGGUGGUAAAUUUCAUCUAAAGCUAAAUAUUGGCGAGAGACCGAUAGCGAACAAGUACCGUGAGGGAAAGAUGAAAAGAACUUUGAAAAGAGAGUUAAACAGUACGUGAAAUUGUCAAAAGGGAAGCGUUUGACACCAGUGUUGUUUUCUCGAAAAUCAAUUAAAAAAAGUUGGACUUUGUGUUGUAUUGACCUUAACAGCUUUCUGCACUCUUUUCCUGCUUUUUUU